UUUUGCCACUGGGGAAUUCAAGUUGAAAUGUCCCUCAAUCAUAUAGGUCUGGAAUACAUCUUUCAUUCGUAAUUUCUGCUCAGAUAAUUGAAUAGUUUGCCAUCUAGAUUAUUUUCAUUUAUACUAUAAAACAAAAGCAAACUAGUCCAGUUUAAUUUUUUAUACUUAGAAUAUUGCACAUUUUCUAUAUAUGAGUCAUUCAGAUUAGUAUCUAUGUAGGUUCAGUCAGCUCCAACCAUGGAUUCGAGGUAUUAUACUGUAUAACCCUACAAAAUACACAGAAGUAUUAUUUGCCUUUAUAAUAGAACCCAAGAGUCUGUUUCAAUUUAUGAAUUCAGUAUUUGCACAGAGAUUUUGAUUCCCAAAGUUUGGAAAAACAUGACAAAACAACGAGGGAAGAAGGAACCAGGCCUUAGUGCCACAUAUUUUUCUCUUGGGGUUGUAAGGUAGUCUCCUGCUUUCCAGAACUUUAUUAUAUUUCACUUACAGACCUGAUUUUCUGUGUCAAAGUAUAAUUCUCAUGCUGAAGCUGUAGCCUAAAAAGCCAAAAGAAAGUUGUCUUCAUUGUACAAACAUAUUCAUCACUUUAACAAAAUAAGGGAACAAAAUUUAGUAUUCAAGCUGAGUGAGAAUACUGUUUCAAUGAGCAUGUCCCUAAGAUAAGCCAGAAUUGGCAGUUAAUUUAGGCGUCUAGAAAAUCUCAGUUCCCACCAGUAAAAUUAUCCUGAGUGGCUAAUGCACCUUGAGAAAAAUCUGGCAUACUGAAUAAAUAACAUUAACUUGGGAGCCAAGAGCUGGGUAAGCCUUACCUUUAGACUACUCUGUGACUACAGAAAUAAAGCCAGCACUUUUGGAACUAGUAAACCUUCACUUGUCAGUAUCAUAAAGAGUAUUGCCCAACUGAACUUUGCUCCCACUGGUUCAGUAGUUACUUAUUUCUGCCUAAGCACUCACCUUCCGAUUUUACCCAAGUAUAUAGGAUAGAAAAAAGUGCAUUAUAUUUGAGAGCUACUUCACCCAAAUUACAAAAUGAGUCAGUGUUUUUAGAUUCAAGUGAUAGUAAAAGGAUUUGUUCCCUUCAGUGACUUGAGUGUUUUAGUUAUGCAUAAGUAUUUCUAGCAAAGGAAGGGUAGAAAGGAAUUGAAGAUUAAUUUACACUAUUUGCUACUUGGGAAUAAAGGGCUUUUUGAAGGGGGUAUGGAUAUUAAAUGUUUUUGUUAUAUACUUAUCCCUAUUAAAACAGGCAGUUGUUUCUUUGAAUAUGCCUAAAUAACAGUAUUCUUAAAAUCUGACAAGUAACAUGUCAAUUACUUGAUAUUCCUUGUCUCCAGUACCACAGGCCACUCUUGACAUCCCAUGUUUGCCUGGAUAAAGUUCCUCAUUUCAAACAGUAUACAUACUUCUUUGCAGUUCAUUAUAGUAAGGCUUAACCUGUAAACAAUAUCUGAUGGCCCACCUAUAAAUAAAAUUCAGCAUUCUAUUUUUAAUAAUUUGUAUGCCACCAAUUUGUAUUAUUUGUCUCAAUAAAUACUUAGUCAU
rnacentral:lncRNA from 1 species